rnacentral:rRNA from 1 species
UACGAAGGGGGCUAGCGUUGUUCGGAAUUACUGGGCGUAAAGCGCGCGCAGGCGGUCUUCCAAGUCAGUGGUGAAAGCCCGGAGCUCAACUCCGGAACUGCCAUUGAAACUGUGAGACUUGAGGAUGAGAGAGGUGAGUGGAAUUCCCAGUGUAGAGGUGAAAUUCGUAGAUAUUGGGAAGAACACCGGUGGCGAAGGCGGCUCACUGGCUCAUUUCUGACGCUCAGGCGCGACAGCGUGGGGAGCAAACAGG